AGCAAUGGAGGCAGCCGACCACGGUAGGCUCAGCGACUGGGGUGAAGUCGUAACAAGGUAGCCGUAGGGGAACCUGCGGCUGGAUCACCUCCUUU
rnacentral:rRNA from 1 species